UACGUAGGGUGCAAGCGUUAAUCGGAAUUACUGGGCGUAAAGCGUGCGCAGGCGGUUGUGCAAGACAGAUGUGAAAUCCCCGGGCUCAACCUGGGAACUGCAUUUGUGACUGUAGAGCUGGAGUGCGGCAGAGGGGGAUGGAAUUCCGCGUGUAGCAGUGAAUGCGUAGAUAUGCGGAGGAACACCGAUGGCGAAGGCAAUCCCCUGGGCCUGCACUGACGCUCAUGCACGAAAGCGUGGGGAGCAAACAGG
rnacentral:rRNA from 1 species